rnacentral:rRNA from 1 species
UGCGGAUCGGUAGGAGAGCGUCGUGUGGCGAGUGAAGCGGCGGAGUGAUCCAGCCGUGGACGCCACACGAGUGAGAAUGCAGGCAUGAGUAGCGAAUGAGGAGUGAGAAACUCCUCCGCCGAAUGAUCAAGGGUUCCAGGGUCAAGCUAAUCUGCCCUGGGUAAGUCGGGACCUAAGGCGAGGCCGACAGGCGUAGUCGAUGGACAACGGGUUGAUAUUCCCGUACCGGCAAAAC